GAGGAUUUCUGCACUUGAUCGAGGUAUAACCCGAGGUGGUUAGCCGUGGUCGUUAGAGGUGGUUGGCAGCGGUUGGAGGUGAUCGGAGGUGAACGAGGAGGAGGACGAGGAAGACGAGGAUUUGUGCUCGGUAUGACCCGAGGUAGUUCGCGGUGGUUGCGGGUGAUCGAGGUGGGCGAGGAGGAGGACGAGGAUGACGAGGACUUGUACACUUUCUGUGCCCCACCUAGUGAUCCACU